AUGGCGAUCGUCCGGACGAAGCACGCCGAGGCGCCGACGGAGAGCGCCGCGAACACCGGCGGCACGAUGAUGUCGGCGCAGGUCCGGCCGGCCAUCCUCGCCGGCACGCAGACGUGGUCCCCGCCGCCGUCGAGCGGCACGCGCACCGACCCGGCCGCGCACCCGCCGCUGGCCAGCGCCCACACGAACGCGGCCUCCGGCGCGAACGACGCCACCGACACGGCCAGCGCCAGCGUGCCGGCCCACGCCGCGGCGUGGCGCGCCGCCGGGCCCCAGCACGGCCACCACCACCGCUCCCCGGCACUCACCAGCAGCGCCCCCACGAGCGGAUGCAUCGGUCGAGGGAGGGCUCGAGAUCGCUCGCUCGGCUCGACCUUGAUUUUCUUGGCCUCCCUGCAGAGGAUCGAGUCGGGUUCGAGACGCCGCGCAACUGGCGUUGCGAGUUGCGAGCCGGCCGUGCGGCGCGCGGGGUGGUGGUUAUGUACGCAGAGCGGAGCGCGAGUGAAGCGGCUGCGUCGCGCGUCGUGGGGGGCGGAGGAGGGGCAGAUAGAAUGGAGAGGUUAG
rnacentral:rRNA from 1 species